UUCUUCAUUGGACUUUAAUCUUACUAAUGUAAAACGGGAGGCUAGUUUCAGAGGAAGAUGGGCUCCAGGAUGGGAGCAGUGGAUUUUGGUUUGGGCAAGAGUCCACGGGAGAUGUUGAGGCAAUGAUCAUGGGGGAUGGAGGUUUGAGGAACAGUCACUGGAGAAGACAUAAAUGGCAAAGAAGAUAGAGGUGGACUGAGAUGGACUAGAGGCUAUGAACCACGGACCCAGUGACUUGAAGAGCUUAAGCGCAGCUUCCACUGAGGAGUAGCAGAUGCACUGGGAACGGGGAAAGGUGGGGGACCAGGGCGGUGGCCCAGGAUGCUCUUCGACGCAUUAUUUCCUCCCCUCCGGUAGAGGGCGCUGCGUCCAGGCACAGAGAACGAGAAAGAGGAAGACUGGGAAGCAAGGCUGCGUUCGCGCUGACGCAUGCGCGCAGCCAACGACACGCCGCUUUUACUCUAGCUGUUUCUUGGCCAGUGGUACCGAUUGGACCCACAGACGGGGCAUGAUGGUGGUCGGUACGGGCACGUCGCUGGCGCUCUCCUCCCUCCUGUCCCUGCUGCUCUUCGCUGGGAUGCAGAUGUACAGCCGCCAGCUGGCCUCCACAGAGUGGCUCACCAUCCAAGGGGGUCUGCUUGGCUCCGGCCUCUUCGUCUUCUCCCUCACUGCCUUCAAUAACCUGGAGAAUCUUGUCUUUGGCAAAGGGUUCCAAGCAAAGAUCUUCCCCGAGAGUGCCGUCGAGUUGGUUCCGACUCAAAGCGACCCUACGCACAACGGAACGAAACACUGCCUCGUCCUGAGCCAUCCUUAAAAUCGUUGUUAUGCUUGAGCUCGUUGUUGCAGCGACUAUGUCAGUCCACCUCAUUGAGGGUCUUCCUCUUUUCCGCUGACCCUGUACUCUGCCAAGCAUGAUGUCCUUCUCCAGGGACUGACCCCUCCUAACAACAUGUCCAAAUUCUCCUCUGCCUUCUGUUGGCUCUCUUUGCAUCCGGCCUCAUCCACCGAGUCUGUGUCACCACCUGCUUCAUCUUCUCCAUGGUUGGUCUGUACUACAUCAACAAGAUC